GCCUGAGGAGUUGACUGACCAGAGAGGACAGGGAGGUUUCGCAGGUGGUGGAUCGGAAUUACAAACACUCGCCGCUCGACACGACAUCGUAUAUAUCCCAGCACGCCAUCGUUCCCGACAAUAACGACAUCUCCUCGUAGCACGGAUCACGUCUCUCAAUAUCAACGGGAGACGCCCCGCUUCGAAUCUACUACUCCUUAGAUAGACAGUAGAUACCAGUGCUGUGUGUAUUUUGACAGAACCUCCGUCUUCUAUUGGAUCUGCG
rnacentral:misc_RNA from 1 species